GUCACUCUUUGCUCUUUUACUAAACUGAUUUUCUAUGUUCUCAAUUGAGCCAAAAAUGAAUGAACAGUGAACUAUGAUUGAAAGGUCUUUUGUGAUUUUAAUAUUGUUACUUCCCAGGAAUACAUCAGUCUUUGUUUGGGAUUUCUCACCAUAAAGACCACCAGAACUCUGGAUAACAAAUCAGAAAAUUAUGUUUAUUGUUAGUUAUCUACGCCUGGCUGAGAUUAUGUAUGCGUGUGUGCAUCUGUCUGUCUGUCCACGGCUAAUCUCACAUACUGCUGGACCCAUCAGCCUAAUGUUUUUGUGCUCAUUUGUGACUGUAUGCUCAAGGACCUCUUGUGGUUGCAGUGAUUCACUCUUUUUGAAAAACAUAUUUUAUUGACUAUUUUAUAAUGUCAUUGACUGCUGACUCCUCACAACCCUUUACCGGCCGGUAGGGGCCGCAAUUGCUCAACAACUGCUUCAAUCUGGGAUCUUGUUUCAGUUAUGGAUUAGCUAUUGUUCCUAGCGCUUACCAAAUGACCGAGCGCUUACUACAAUGGAGCGCGUGUUCUCAUGUCGGUAGGAGGACAGCUAGUUGUAGUAGUCUGUAUUGGAAUGAUCAGAUGAGAUGAAGAUG